GUAGGCAGGGGAAUCCUUCUUCCGAGUGCACUUAGAAUUCUCCCUGCAACUGGGAACCUUUUGUGACCAGGGCUUACAGGAUUAGUAGGACAGCAGGCAGGGCAGCUAGCAGUUGAUGGAGCCAGAGUCAACGGCAGACAGAGGCAGCUCAUUUCAUACCUAUCCCCCUCUGGGCCAAGUUCUACAAAGGGAACCUGGAGACUGAGUAGGAGGAAGGUGACCGCAAGUGCCACCUUCUGGACCGGUUGGAAGGCAGAUAGAGGAUGGCUGAAAACAGACUGAGGCUGGCGGGGCAAUACCUCAUUGCCCCCAAUGGAGCAGAUUCCACUGGUGGGAAGGACCCUAAGUGUUCCCAACACUUGAUGAGGAUGUAGCUGGUGGGGAUGUGGGCACUGGAAGUGAGGUGUGGCAGUAGAUGUGCUGGAUCAUUAACUGGCAAUGGACUGGAUGAGAGCCAGUUUGACUGAAGCUUCCUUCAGAUCCCUUUACCCAAUUUUCCGAUUACUAAACAGAUGUUAGGCUAUCCCUGUCGAGAAAGGGGCGUAGCUGAGCCACCAGACGAAGCUGACAGAAGAUACUCUGCGGCACCAAGGCCACCAGGACCUCAAGCAACAGUAAUGGAUCCAGGAGCACCCCCAAGUUACGGAAUGUAACCCCCUCAAGAGCAGGCAGUCUCCCAUUCAUCUAGGCUGGGGAGCCACCCACUAACAGUGGACAAAAUUACAUUAGGUUGUUGUUGUUGUUUUGUUUUAAAGCAUUUUAAAUGUGUUAUAACACCGUGACAGCAGAUGGCAUUGUAGAAUACGGUCCUUCAGCAAUGUGAUUUCCCAUUAUGAGCUUUACAGCACAUUUCCCUGAAACUUUGUUUUUUUUUAAUGUGUAUGGAUCCAGCCUGUGUCUCAGUCUUAUCUGGAUUGAGCAUCUGCUUAUUGGCUCUCAUCAAGCACAUCCACCACCCACCACACCUGUAGAUGUAAAGGAGAAAUAGAGCCAUGUGUCAUCAGCAUAUUGCUGACAACACAUUCUGGAACUCCUGAUCUUUGUCAAUGACAGAUUCCCCACUUCUGCACCCUGACGCUUUGCAUUCCUAAAUUGGUAUGAAUUUAUAUGGCUCGUGGUUUGGAAGGAAAGUGGUUGAGGUGGGUCUUCUGUAUUUGGAAGCUAUUGAGGGUCACUCUUGGGUCUGAUUAGAAUCUGUUGUAGAUUAGCUUUUGUUAAAUGUUUGCUGCUACCGACAAACACCGGAAACUCAGAUUUCCUCAAGUGUGCCUCACCUCGGUCUGUCCUCAGUGCAGUCGGGUCCCUUUUAUCCAAGAUGCAUAGCGAUGAAGCUCAGGCAGCUUCCAGGAAAACAGCAUGUCACUGGGAACCAGAGCCUCUUUGUAACUUGUUCAUCAUACCUCCAAUUAGUCUGAGUGUUCCUUGUGAAAAAUGAGCUUGCACAAGAGAUCCUGUACAGUCUAUGUAAUUACAUACUUUCAAACAAUAAGGGACAGAUUUCUAAGAAGUGACAAGACAAUGCCUUUCUAUGGCAAAUUUUUCUUGUGGGUUUAGCUCCUUGUAACUUUUAGGGAAAGAAAUGCACAGUGGUACCUUGGGUUACGAACUUAAUUCAUUCUGGAGGUCCAUUCUUAACUCAAAACCAUUCUUAACCUGAGGUGCACUUUCGCUAAUGGGGCCUCCUGCUGCCGCCACGCCGCCACCACACAAUUUCCGUUCUCAUCCUGGGGCAAAGUUCUCAACCCAAGGUACUACUUCCGGGUUAGCGGAGUUUGUAACCCAAAGCGUUUGUAACCCGAAGUGUUUGUAA